GAUGAACGCUGGCGGCGUGCCUAAUACAUGCAAGUCGAACGAGGUGCUUUUGUAGCAAUACGAGAGUAUCCCAGUGGCGAACGGGUGAGUAACGCGUUGGUGACCUGCCCCAAAGUGUGGGAUAACAGUCCGAAAGGAUUGCUAAUACCGCAUGUGGUCUCUGGGUUUAGAAACCGGUGACUAAAGGAGUAAUUCGCUUUGGGAGGGACCUGCGUCCCAUCAGCUAGUUGGUGAGGUAACGGCUCACCCAGGCGACGACGGGUAGGGGACCUGAGAGGGUGGCCCCCCACAAUGGAACUGAAACACGGUCCAUACACCUACGGGUGGCAGCAGUAGGGAAUAUUGCUCAAUGGGCGAAAGCCUGAAGCAGCAACGCCGCGUGCACGAUGAAGGCCUUCGGGUCGUAAAGUGCUUUUCUGCGAGAUGAGAAAGGACAGUAUCGUAGGAAUAAGUCUCGGCUAACUACGUGCCAGCCGCCGCAGUAAAAC
rnacentral:rRNA from 1 species